CUCCUCAAAAGGCGUAUUUUUCAAAAAGUUUAUUUCCAUGUGAAAAGUCACUGUUAAUAAGACAGUAGAUGAAAUUAGCACUCUGUGGAUGGAGAAGACUGAGCUAUCGUUUGAAAAUUUGGCAACCAGCAUCUUAUGAUCUUGUCUAACUUGUCUAGCUGCUUUUCGGAGUUACAGCUUGUACAAAAUGUACCUUUAAAUAAGUGUUUUACUCCACUUUCAAAUGUUGUCUGCAACUAAGAAAUCGUUGUUCACUCUUAAAGCAUUAAAAAACUCAACCAUGUAAAAAUCAAGUCAGUUCAGCUUUCACUUUAUUUUUCUUUUGGCGUAAUUUGGCGUAAUUUAACACAAUAAAGAUGACGAAUUUCGGUUGAAAUUUUAGCCAGAAAGCAAGUUGUCGAAAAUACUCAAGUUAAAGUCGGUUUCUUUGACGAGGCCGCCAAAGUAUUCUACAAGAUUAUAUUUAUAUUAAAUAAAAAAAUGUCAUUAAACGAAACAAAUUAAUUACAAGGACGAAACCAGUUGCCCUACACUGAAAUUACCAGUUAGGGGAAAAAAAAAUUAAAAAAUAGAUGAUUCCAUAAGGUAGGUUUUAUAGUUGGUAUUUCUUUCAAUUAUCGAGCUUUCCACGGGUAUAAGAUUUGCAAAAAUGAUUAUGGCGAGGCGGGGACAAGUUGUAAAACAAAAAAGGUAAAAGUUUAUAAAUUAAAUCCGCAGUAAAGGUAAUUUUAUAAAAUUAAUUAGCACUUUCUAUGUCAAAGAAGAGUAGAGAAGCCGCAUGUAUAAGAUUUCUUAAUUAAUGAAAGGCCGACGGCGAGUUGUAAAAGAAGUUGUCGGUAAUGUAAUAUUGACUCUUCCGACUUACACAUAUAAUUAAUAUAAAGAGCUCGAGAAAACAAGCAAGCUAAGGCAGUCAACUGGAGUAACUGCUGAGUUGUCCAUACACCAGUCGUUUUCAAGUUGUUUAAAAAUGAAGAUCCAAUCUGUUGUAUUUCUUACUGCUGUUCUAAUGCUCACAACGUUGGUGGCUGAGAGUGAAUGCAUUGGUCCAGGAACACCACGAAAACGGGAACACCAAGAAAAGGUUGAGAGAGAAUUAAAGAACUUCCCGGAAGUGAAAAGAAGCAAAGGAAUGGAGAGGAGAGAAUUCGACAAUUACAACGAAGAAAAGGACAAAUAACCAUGUAAACUAAAGGGCUGCUUUUAAGAUAAUCACCACACAGAAAGUGUAACUUAAUGGAUUAUCGUGUGAAAGAAAUAAAAAUCAAGGAAUGUAAAAGUAA